GAUGAAGAACGUAGUGAAAUGCGAUACGUAAUGUGAAUUGCGGAAUUCAGUGAAUCAUCGAGUCUUUGAACGCACAUUGCGCCCCCUGGUAUUCCGGGGGGCAUGCCUGUCCGAGCGUCAUUGCUGCCCUCAAGCACGGCUUGUGUGUUGGGCCUCCGUCCUCCUCCCGGGGGACGGGCCCGAAAGGCAGCGGCGGCACCGCGUCCGGUCCUCGAGCGUAUGGGGCUUCGUCACCCGCUCUUGUAGGCCCGGCCGGCGCUUGCCGACACAUCAAUCUUUUUUCCAGGUUGACCUCGGAUCAGGUAGGGAUACCCGCUGAACUUAAGCAUAUCAAUAAGCGGAGGA
rnacentral:misc_RNA from 1 species